UUUUUUUUUACUUUUCUUGCUUGUAGUCAUUGAGUGGCGCUUGUAUGAUUUACUUACAGACAUUAUGGAUGAUAGAGAAGACAGAUUGAGGCACAACAUGAUUGCACUACAUGCAUUUGUUCGGAGGGAAAAGAGUCAAUCAUCGUAUGAUCAUGUUACUUCUAGCCCGGUUGAUGCAGAGGCGUAGGCUUAUAGGGCUCAUGAAUCUUCGUCUUCUUCUUCCAGUAGGAGACGGGUGUCACAUAGCCAUGCAUCACAACCUCCAUCUUCCUGUAGGCGACGUGUUUCACCAACUCAGACAGCAGAGGUACCCGAGUCACCGGAGGUACCUCAGUCACUAUAGGCACCUCAGGCCGAUGAGGCACCAGAGGCACCCCCAAUGUUUGGAGGGGGUCCGUUAAACUUGUCACUACUGCUUCUUUACUUGGGCCAUACUUUUAGAUAUGUCUGGGAUGGAGAGGUAAUAUUAGUUGGAUUCAUUCUUUUUAAAUUAUGUUUGUUAUUAUAUUAAAAGUUUAUGAUGAUGAUUUAUUUUCUACAUGACCGUGAUCCGCUAAAGUUCAUCAACCAUGAGUGUAAGAUUAUUGGCUUGCAGCAGCCUACUGAGUUAUGGUUUCAAGAUGCUUUGCAGCUACUUGGGAUGAAGGACUUAUGCAAGACCGAUUAUGUUACCGUGAACCAUAUGAUGCUUAAUGCGUUUGUAGAGAGAUGGCACACAGAGACAUCAUCAUUUCAUCUACCACAUGAUAAGAUGUCUAUCACACUCGACAAUGUCUCAUGUCGGAUGCAUCUUCUGACUAGGGGAAAUUUUAAAUCAUGCGAAGAUUAGUAGAUAUGAUGUACCAUAGUUGAUGGUAGACUAUCUGGGAGUUGACCCAGAGGCUUCCAUGAGGGAGUUUGAAGCCACCUAAGGGUGCCAUGUUAGGUUUUGAUUCCUAUAGAAGGUCUAUGCACAUGAGCUAGUUAGAUAAUAGCAGGCUGCUAGUGAUGACAAGCAGGUGGGGCAACAUAAAUCAUAUUCUAUGAGAGCAUACAUGUUGUAUUUUGUUGGCACUUCCAUUUUUGUGGACAAGAGUGUCACUUAUGUGAAGGUCGUCUACCUACGAUACUUUGAGGACUUUGAGCAAAUCCAUGAGUACAACUGAGGAGACACUUGUUUGGUCUACUUGUAUUCUAAGUUAUCCAAAGGCUUUAUAAAAUAUGUUAGUGUGACUCGGUUUUAAUGUUUUGACUUAAGACAAGGGUGCGUUCGAAGGUGUAUCUCCGAAAUUUGAAGGACAUUUUCGAGUUUUCAUAGGGUAUUUUUCCACUACAUAUGAUGGGAUAAGAAAUUCCCUAUUUAAAAAGGAAAUCCAUUCAAAAUAAUUGGGUUUUGGGUAAAUCCAUACCUAACCACCAAAAUCCAUGGAUUAUUGAGUGAUUAAUUAUUUGACUCUUAUUUGUAAUUGGAUGACUGAUGACUUUGAUGUGUUUAAUUAUGAUUGCUUCAGUUAGAGCCUCAUAAACAUUUUUUAUUUUUAUUUUGUGACACAUGAUUUUGAUUAUUUUAACGUUAAUUUUUGUAACUUGAAAGUAUUUUAUCUAAUUCCUAGUAUUACUGUAGUGCAGAUUUAAUUUUUGCAAGUAUGUUUACGAUGAACUUUAUUGUGCGUUUAGAAAUUGGAUGCUUAAAAUAAUAGUGGUAAUAGACUAAAUUAUUUUAAAAAAUGGUUAAGGCAUUUUUUGGAAUUUAAUACGACACUUCAUUUAUAAUUAUAUAAAGAAGAAACAAAUGAAAAUUUUGGGUAACUCAGUAUCUAACUCAAUUCAAUCAAUAAAUUUGUAGUUUGAUCCAAACCAACUCAAUCAUGUCGUGAGUGAUUAUUUUAUCUCACUCAAAUCAGUGUACCAUAUAUGAGUUAGAUCUUAGUUUUGUUUAAAUCCAACACAAACUGACAUAUGUACACCCUAAUUUUAACGAUUAUUAAUUUUAAAAAAAUAAUCCACCCUUUUAACCACACUAUAACCAACCUACUACACAACAACUCCUUCACCUAUUUUGAUUCACCCUUACCACUCUACCGCACAAACAAACCUUCACCACCCUAAACCUUCAUCCAAUGACAUAACCUUACAAUGAAUCACCUUGUUUCACUGUGCACCAACCUUUCCAUCUCAAAAUUCCUCUCUAACUUCAUAACUCGAUUCGUCGUUCACCCUCCACAAAGAACCUCUCUGUGACCACCUCUUUCUUCAUGCCAAAAUAAAUCUCUAGUAACACAACACCUUGAUUCUUCCCAACAAAAACAACCUCUCAACUAAGCCUCACUCUCCUAUCUUCGUGUAACUCAUCAUAAACUUACACGUGAAAUCACUUCUUCAACAUUAAACCUUCACACCAUGAACAUACAACACAUGUAAUCACCAAGCACACUGCAUUUCAUUUUUCGACGAUGCGAAAGAGUUCAACAUUGCGAUAAUAUUUAUGUUUCUUGUUUAUCCUAGCGUUAUUGUUUACAUAAGUGAUUUAUGUAAAAUAUUGUAAACAAUUCUGAGUUGCUCUUUUUUUAGUUCUCUUUUACUGAAAAAUUUUGUGGGAGGAAACUUGAAAUAAGACAUUAAAAAUGAGAGGGGGAGGUGUUCCAAUCCUUCAUAUUUCUCUCUUGCUAGUUUCACAUAUUACUUAUUUGUUUUAAUGUAAAUAAUCACAUGCCAUGUGUCUUGUUGCUAUUAAUUAGAUCAUUAUCUUAUGAUUAAUGACUAAUAGAGGAUUGUUCCAUUAAAAAAAUUAAUAUUAAUUUUUAUCUUUUCUAAAAAUAACCUAGGUAAACCACCAAUAAAUCUUUCUUUCCAAUAAACUGCACCACAAUCCGAACUAAGGCAGAGUUUGGAUAAGAACAUAUCUUUAUACCACUUAUAAUUAUACAUGGUUGAACAAUAAAGGUUUAGUAAUUGAUCCUCUACUCUUUGUUGUAUUUUUAGAGGUUCUCCUAUAAAGAACUUAGUAAUAGCAUAUAAGAGAGUUGUAACACAAAUCUCUUCAUUAGAUUCUGUUUUUAUAGCUGAAUCUAUUCGGUAUUCAUCUUCUGAACUAACGAGAUUAUCCAACCAUCCUUUUAAUUGUCCUAUAAACUCCAUAAUUAAUGUCUUUAUUUCCUUUGAGUUUAAAGGCAGUAUCAGUCAUAGUCAUGUUUUGUAUUGUAUCUAAAACUUGUUAUUCAGAUGCACCAUCGAUGUUCCACUCAACAAUGGACUCCCCUGAAUAAUUAUUUUAAUUAUAUUUAAAUAAAAAAAGAGAUUAAAUGUAUUGCACUUUCAGUGCAAACUAGUUUUACACCAUUAUUCAAUAAAAAUAUAACAUUAAGCCAUAUCAUACACUAUUUUAAAAUUAAGAGUAUGACUUGGCGGGAGAGAUGGGCACACGAAUACCCGUUUGAUCGCUAGUGUUAAUAAAAUGUAUUUUUGUUUUAGACUUAAAUGCAUUUUUGGUCCCCCUAGUUUGAUGUUUUUUUAACUUUUAAUCCCUCAAUUUUAAAAACCAUUUUUUUGGUCCUCCAGUUUUGCACAUGUGAUACUGAUGAUUAGGAUAUGCACAUGUGAUACUGAUGAUUAGGAUACAAAAAUUAAUUGUGAUACUGAUGAUUAGGAUACAAAAAUUAAUUACAAUGAUAUGACAAUGAUGAUUAGAAUGAUUUAUUAUUUAAUAUCUUUUUACACAAUUAAUUAAUUAAUUAAUUACUUUACAUAAUAAAUUAAUUAUCAAUGAUUAACUAAAACAGCUUUGGGCUUCAUGCCCAUUUUGUUUCAACAUUAACCCAGU
rnacentral:lncRNA from 1 species